UAAUACGGAGGGGGCUAGCGUUGUUCGGAAUUACUGGGCGUAAAGGGCGCGUAGGCGGCAUCUCAAGUCAGGCGUGAAAGGCCUGGGCUCAACCCGGGAACUGCGUUUGAUACUGAGGAGCUGGAGUGCGGGAGAGGAUGGCGGAAUUCCCAGUGUAGAGGUGAAAUUCGUAGAUAUUGGGAAGAACACCAGUGGCGAAGGCGGCCAUCUGGCCCGGCACUGACGCUGAGGCGCGAAAGCGUGGGGAGCAAACAGGAUUAGAUACCCUGGUAGUCCACGCCGUAAACGAUGCGUGCUAGACGUUGGGGGGUUUACCCCUCGGUGUCGCAGCUAACGCUUUAAGCACGCCGCCUGGGGAGUACGGCCGCAAGGUUA
rnacentral:rRNA from 1 species